AAUGAGUGGUGGUCUAGUGCAC
rnacentral:miRNA from 1 species